CCUACGGGAGGCAGCAGUCGAGAAUCUUUCACAAUGGGGGAAACCCUGAUGGUGCGACGCCGCGUGGGGGAAUGAAGGCCUUCGGAUUGUAAACCCUUGUCAGGUGGAAGCAAAUCAAAAAGAUAGUACCACAAGAGGAAGAGACGGCUACCCCUGGGCCAGCCGCCGCGGUAAGACGGAGGUCUCAAGCUUUGUUCGGAAUCACUGGGCGUAAAGGGUGCGUAGGCGGUUUUGUAAGUCGUGUGUGAAAGGCGCGGGCUCAACCCACGGACGGCACAUGAUACUGCGAGACUAGAGUAAUGGAGGGGGAACCGGAAUUCUCGGUGUAGCAGUAAAAUGCGUAGAUAUCGAGAGGAACACUCGUGGCGAAGGCGGGUGCCUGGACAGUAACUGACGCUGAGGCACGAAGGCGAGGGGAGCGAAAGGGAUUAGAUACCCUUGUAGUC
rnacentral:rRNA from 1 species